rnacentral:lncRNA from 1 species
GAAAAUACAAGGAGAUGAUACAAAAAAAUGAACCGUAGUUCAUUUCUUCAUAAGUUCAUCUACUUUGAACUUUAUCUUGGCGAGAAUCUUUUAGUUGCUUAAGAUGGCAACCUCCAGGUCAAAAGUCCUUUGCAUCAGGUUGUCGAUGAGGACUUGCAUCUCUUGCUGGAAUAUGUGCAACUUGUCCCUCACACUAAAAGGCACCUCAUCAUCUUCGGAGGCUGCCUCUUUCCCCUUCUCGACUCUUGGAUCUCUGAACGUCAUUUUUCAAUUAUCUAAGAUUGAUUAAGAUAAUUGAAUUUGAUUCAAAUGGUUAAUGGUUCCCUUUAUUUAUAGGCAUGAAAGUUGACUCUUCGUUUU